GACGAACGCUGGCCGGCGUGCCUAAUACAUGCAAGUAGAACGCUGAAGAGAGGAGCUUGCUCUUCUUGGAUGAGUUGCGAACGGGUGAGUAACGCGUAGGUAACCUGCCUGGUAGCGGGGGAUAACUAUUGGAAACGAUAGCUAAUACCGCAUGAAAUGGAUUAUCGCAUGAUAAUUCAUUGAAAGGUGCAAAUGCAUCACUACCAGAUGGACCUGCGUUGUAUUAGCUAGUUGGUGGGGUAACGGCUCACCAAGGCGACGAUACAUAGCCGACCUGAGAGGGUGAUCGGCCACACUGGGACUGAGACACGGCCCAGACUCCUACGGGAGGCAGCAGUAGGGAAUCUUCGGCAAUGGACGGAAGUCUGACCGAGCAACGCCGCGUGAGUGAAGAAGGUUUUCGGAUCGUAAAGCUCUGUUGUAAGAGAAGAACGAGUGUGAGAGUGGAAAGUUCACACUGUGACGGUAUCUUACCAGAAAGGGACGG
rnacentral:rRNA from 1 species